CCCUUAGAUGUCCUGGGCUGCACGCGCGCUACACUGAUGUGUCCAGUAAGCACCUAACCUCUUCCGAAAGGAACGGGUAACCUUUGCAAAGCACAUCGUGAUGGGGAUAGAUUAUUGCAAUUAUUAGUCUUGAACGAGGAAUUCCUAGUAAGCACAAGUCAUCAGCUUGUGUUGAUUACGUCCCUGCCCUUUGUACACACCGCCCGUCGCUUCUACCGAUUGAAUGUUCCGGUGAGCUCUUCGGACUGCGCGGUCUGCAGUUUCUGCGUUCCGUGCGGAAAGUUGCGCAAACCUUAACAUUUAGAGGAAGGAGAAGUCGUAACA
rnacentral:rRNA from 1 species